rnacentral:tRNA from 1 species
GUCUCUGUAGCGCAAUGAAUAGCGCGUUGGACUUCUAAUCCAAGGUUGUUGGUUCGAAUCACACUUGAGAUG